CAGUCGCCGCGGUAAAACGGAGGGGGCUAGCGUUGUUCGGAAUUACUGGGCGUAAAGCGUACGUAGGCGGCUUUGUAAGUUAGAGGUGAAAGCCUGGUGCUCAACACCAGAACUGCCUUUAAGACUGCAUCGCUUGAACGUCGGAGAGGUGAGUGGAAUUCCGAGUGUAGAGGUGAAAUUCGUAGAUAUUCGGAAGAACACCAGUGGCGAAGGCGGCUCACUGGACGACUGUUGACGCUGAGGUACGAAAGCGUGGGGAGCAAACAGGAUUAGAUACCCCUGUAGUCCCUGUCUCUUAUAC
rnacentral:rRNA from 1 species